UACAGGGGGUGCAAACGUUGCUCGGAAUUACUGGGCGUAAAGCGUGCGCAGGCGGCUUCUCAAGUCAGGGGUGAAAGCCCAGAGCUCAACUCUGGAAUUGCCUUUGAGACUGAGUGGCUUGAGUACGAGAGAGGUGAGUGGAAUUCCCAGUGUAGAGGUGAAAUUCGUAGAUAUUGGGAAGAACACCGGUGGCGAAGGCGGCUCACUGGCUCGUAACUGACGCUCAUGCACGACAGCGUGGGGAUCAAACAGG
rnacentral:rRNA from 1 species